rnacentral:sRNA from 1 species
CAACUGUUUUGGACAUUUAUCUUCUAAACUGCUGUGUUGAAAGUAUUGAUGACUGGCUUUCAUCUAAAAAGAAGAGACCAAUACGAGCACAGUAUAUGAAGGUUUCUCAUACUUAAGUUCCAGCUUUUUAUCUGGUAAAAUGUUACACUUACUCGGUUGUAACUGAAGAUAUGGAAGAUCUGAGUUACAAUGUAUGAAUGAAAAAAAAAAGGCAAAGCAGAACAAUUUCAGAGGUUCAAGAACCAAAAGCAAUGGAAUGGGCCCUAAGGGAAAAUAAAAUGGACCUGUGCUGCCUCUUUCCUCUUGUGCCACUCUCCCAGUCACUCAACCCUGCUCCAACUGUACUGGCUGCUAUUCUUGAACAAACCUUCCUGCAUGACCUUGGACCAACUGCCAGAGUUUUCUCUGGGUGUUAACAGCGGUUGGACGACAGACAAUUGCUUCCGGGCAGCGUUCCAAAAUAUUGGCUACAGCAGUCUCAUCGGCACCUAGUUCUUGUAAAAUAUUCGCAAUUUCUUCAACAUAGGUUUCAUCCUCUAAAAGUACCCAUCCUUUUAAUCUACGAAUUUUUCUGAUGUCAACUGAACAUUUAUAGAGCUUUUCCACUGUUCUUGUAUUUUCUUUGCUCGACUGUCUAUCAGUUGUAUAGGUGAAGCAUGCUAAGAAAGGUCUGUAUUUUGGAGGUGAUCGCAUCUUUCUGAAAGAACACAGCCUGCAGGACUGGGAUCUCAGCAGCAGCUUCCACAACAUGGCUGCAAUCCACUAGCUAGUUUCCACCGUCCUGGGACUUAAA